rnacentral:rRNA from 1 species
UACAGAGGUCCCAAGCGUUGUUCGGAUUCACUGGGCGUAAAGGGUGCGUAGGUGGUGAGGUAAGUCGGAUGUGAAAUCCCCGGGCUCAACCCGGGAACUGCGUCCGAGACUGGCAGGCUCGAAUCCGGGAGAGGGAUGUGGAAUUCCAGGUGUAGCGGUGAAAUGCGUAGAUAUCUGGAGGAACACCGGUGGCGAAGGCGGCAUCCUGGACCGGUAUUGACGCUGAGGCGCGAAAGCCAGGGGAGCAAACGGG